CUCAUUCUUUUACCUGUAGAAGCUCAAUUUGGUGGACCGAUAUACUAUAGAUGAAUGUAUGCUAUUCAGAGAUGAUGUUGCCAAACUAUAUAACUAUAAUUUAUAGUUCUUUAGUAUAAAUAAUGUCACACUCGUAUUGAUAUUUUAAUAAAUUUUAAUUUUUAAAAAUAUUUUUGCACUUAAGAGAUUAUAUACGAAAU
rnacentral:lncRNA from 1 species